AUGUUCUCUAUCUUUUUGUUGAGGCUUCUAAUCCGAACAGCGACAUCACGACGUGACCAGAUGUUACAAAAGCAAGAGGAAACUGAAAGGCCUGCACAUCUAGCUGAUCUGCUUGAUGGUGAUGAAGGAUCAUCAGGAAGUAGCUUGCUUCCUUUACAUCUAGCCACAUCUAGGAUUUCAUCAACAUCAUAUAUAACAUCUCUCAGUUGGCCAAGCCAAUUGUUUACUGCUAACUCUUUUGUCCUCCUUUUCUCAGCAUCAUAUAUGCAACAUUGUAUCAGUUCUACUCGUCGCAGGACUUGUCUGAGCUCUUCUUCCACCCCAAGGAUUAGUAUGGCCUCAUCUGUAAUGAUAUUUUGCAACUUACUGGCACAUGAUCCAAGCAAAGAUUCAAGUAUGGCUGCCAUGGAUCAGACAAACUCGGCAAGUGAGAUCAACCAAAAACACCACAGUGACUUGAUUCUAAGAAUGGCAGAAACUGGAAGCGAUAAGGUAUCUUAG
rnacentral:rRNA from 1 species